UACCAGCACCCCGAGUGGUCGGGACGAUUAUUGGGCCUAAAGCAUCCGUAGCCGGUCAUGCAAGUCUUCCGUUAAAUCCAGCCGCUCAACGGUUGGGCUGCGGAGGAUACUACGUGGCUAGGAGGCGGGAGAGGCAAGCGGUACUCAGUGGGUAGGGGUAAAAUCCUUUGAUCCAUUGCAGACCACCAGUGGCGAAGGCGGCUUGCCAGAACGCGCUCGACGGUGAGGGAUGAAAGCUGGGGGAGCAAACCGG
rnacentral:rRNA from 1 species